CCCUCAGCAGCCAUCGAGGUCAGCAGCAGCAGCUACACCAGGAGCAGCAGCAGGAGGGACCACAGCCUCACCCCCAGCCACAUCAGCAGCAGCAGCAGCAGGAACAGCCGCCGCCCCAGCUACAGCCUCCUCGGCAGACACGUCACCGCCACGCCAAUUGGACGCACUCUGAAACUCUCUCCCUUGUACAGCUCUAUAGGGAGAAAGCAGCCAUCCUCAAGGGAAAUUUUUCCGACAAUGGCUGCUCUGCUGAGGCGAAGGCGAAGGCUUGGGGCAGCAUUGUCUCUCGCCUAGCGGCACUCCACCCUGGCUUCAGCAGAUGCAUAAAGCAGUGCCAGAGACGCUGGUAAACUGUUAUGCAGGAAGCAAAAGCUAAAAUUAGUGCCUACCAAAAGGCCAGGAAUGGAACAGGUGGUGGCCUUCCGCCUAAACCCCUCGGGGAGUUAGAGGUCAUCAUCGCUGAUGUGCUGGGAGAGGGGAACGUCUCAGUCAGUUCUAUUGACAGGACAGUGGUGGACCCUUUUCCACUUGACACUGAAGAUGUUCCCGAAAAUGGGAGUCUUCAGGUGGAUGUCACACCACCUGUCCCUCCCCAACCCAGCACAGACACACCUCAAACCACCACCACACCACCACCAGUAGUUCCUGCCGCUGCAGCUUCCUCCAGUACACCAGUUGGGGCCUGCACCAUGUUGGUGGAUGAGGAGGAGCUGCAGUUCAUCCGCUUGAAGAGGGAACUUG